rnacentral:rRNA from 1 species
UACGGAGGGUGCGAGCGUUGUUCGGAAUCACUGGGCGUAAAGAGCGUGUAGGCGGCCCGGUAAGUCCGCUGUAAAAGUCAAAGGCUCAACCUUUGAAUGUCAGUGGAUACUGCCGGGCUAGAGUCCGGAAGAGGCGAGUGGAACUCCUGGUGUAGCGGUGGAAUGCGCAGAUAUCAGGAAGAACACCAACGGCGAAGGCAGCUCGCUGGGACGGUACUGACGCUGAGACGCGAAAGCGUGGGGAGCGAACAGG